rnacentral:rRNA from 1 species
ACGCUCGACACCUACGGGAUGCAGCAGUGGGGAAUAUUGCACAAUGGGGGAAACCCUGAUGCAGCGACGCCGCGUGAAGGAAGAAGUAUCUCGGUAUGUAAACUUCUAUCAGCAGGGAAGAAAAUGACGGUAUCUGACUAAGAAGCCCCGGCUAACUACGUGCCAGUAGCCGCGGUAAUCUGAGCGGGCUGGCAAGGC